rnacentral:misc_RNA from 1 species
GUGAAUCAUCAAAUCUUUGAACGCAAAUUGCACUCUCUGGUAUUCCGGGGAGUAUGCCUGUUUGAGGGUCAGUUAAAUAAAAAUAGGAGUGGUUGCUGCUUUUCGUGGGGACGCACCGGGGUUUGGGCGUCUUUCCUUCGGUUAAGUGACCUAAAAUUUUGCAUGAUGUUGUCGAACGUAGUUAUAUUAGUUUACGUACGUUGGCGAUAGCGA